rnacentral:rRNA from 1 species
GCCGAUCAUUCACGUUGGGCGACUCCUAGCGAGACUGCCGGUAAUAAACCGGAGGAAGUGGGGGAUGACGUCAAAUCAUCAUGCCCUUAUGACCUGGGCUACACACGUGCUACAAUGGUUGGUACAACGAGUUGCGAGUCGGUGACGGCGAGCUAAUCUCUUAAAGCCAAUCUCAGUUCGGAUUGUAGGCUGCAACUCGCCUACAUGAAGUCGGAAUCGCUAGUAAUCGCGGAUCAGCACGCCGCGGUGAAUACGUUCCCGGGCCUU